CCAUUGACUGUUUUCUUGGAUUUUCCUUGCCUUCAUCAGGAAAAAGGUGUUGCUCAAGAGUCCUUUGUUUAUCUUCAGAUAACUUCCCAACUUCUUUAAGCAGAAACAACCAUCUUCUCAGCAACAAAACCCUCUCAGGACCUCUACAAGACACAGCAGCCUCCUCCAGUCUCUUUACAGUUUGUUUAAUGCUUCUGAAAGUUCGAUUACCCU
rnacentral:lncRNA from 1 species